AGCAGUAUUGAACUGAAGAGUUUGAUCAUGGCUCAGAUUGAACGCUGGCGGCAGGCCUAACACAUGCAAGUCGAGCGGAUGAAGGGAGCUUGCUCCUGGAUUCA
rnacentral:rRNA from 1 species